rnacentral:rRNA from 1 species
UACGUAGGUGGCAAGCGUUGUCCGGAUUUACUGGGCGUAAAGAGCGCGCAGGCGGUUGAUUAAGUCGAAUGUGAAAGCCCCCGGCUCAACUGGGGAGGGUCAUUCGAUACUGAUCGACUUGAAGGCAGGAGAGGGAAGUGGAAUUCCGGGUGUAGUGGUGAAAUGCGUAGAUAUCCGGAGGAACACCAGUGGCGAAGGCGACUUCCUGGCCUGUUCUUGACGCUGAGGCGCGAAAGCGUGGGGAGCAAACAGG